GGGUUGUGAGGUUAAGCGACUAAGCGUACACGGUGGAUGCCCUGGCAGUCAGAGGCGAUGAAGGACGUGCUAAUCUGCGAUAAGCGUCGGUAAGGUGAUAUGAACCGUUAUAACCGGCGAUUUCCGAAUGGGGAAACCCAGUGUGAUUCGUCACACUAUCAUUAACUGAAUCCAUAGGUUAAUGAGGCGAACCGGGGGAACUGAAACAUCUAAGUACCCCGAGGAAAAGAAAUCAACCGAGAUUCCCCCAGUAGCGGCGAGCGAACGGGGAGGAGCCCAGAGCCUGAAUCAGUGUGUGUGUUAGUGGAAGCGUCUGGAAAGGCGCGCGAUACAGGGUGACAGCCCCGUACACAAAAAUGCACAUGCUGUGAGCUCGAUGAGUAGGGCGGGACACGUGGUAUCCUGUCUGAAUAUGGGGGGACCAUCCUCCAAGGCUAAAUACUCCUGACUGACCGAUAGUGAACCAGUACCGUGAGGGAAAGGCGAAAAGAACCCCGGCGAGGGGAGUGAAAAAGAACCUGAAACCGUGUACGUACAAGCAGUGGGAGCCUCUUUAUGGGGUGACUGCGUACCUUUUGUAUAAUGGGUCAGCGACUUAUAUUCUGUAGCAAGGUUAACCGAAUAGGGGAGCCGAAGGGAAACCGAGUCUUAACUGGGCGUUAAGUUGCAGGGUAUAGACCCGAAACCCGGUGAUCUAGCCAUGGGCAGGUUGAAGGUUGGGUAACACUAACUGGAGGACCGAACCGACUAAUGUUGAAAAAUUAGCGGAUGACUUGUGGCUGGGGGUGAAAGGCCAAUCAAACCGGGAGAUAGCUGGUUCUCCCCGAAAGCUAUUUAGGUAGCGCCUCGUGAAUUCAUCUCCGGGGGUAGAGCACUGUUUCGGCAAGGGGGUCAUCCCGACUUACCAACCCGAUGCAAACUGCGAAUACCGGAGAAUGUUAUCACGGGAGACACACGGCGGGUGCUAACGUCCGUCGUGAAGAGGGAAACAACCCAGACCGCCAGCUAAGGUCCCAAAGUCAUGGUUAAGUGGGAAACGAUGUGGGAAGGCCCAGACAGCCAGGAUGUUGGCUUAGAAGCAGCCAUCAUUUAAAGAAAGCGUAAUAGCUCACUGGUCGAGUCGGCCUGCGCGGAAGAUGUAACGGGGCUAAACCAUGCACCGAAGCUGCGGCAGCGACACUAUGUGUUGUUGGGUAGGGGAGCGUUCUGUAAGCCUGCGAAGGUGUACUGUGAGGUAUGCUGGAGGUAUCAGAAGUGCGAAUGCUGACAUAAGUAACGAUAAAGCGGGUGAAAAGCCCGCUCGCCGGAAGACCAAGGGUUCCUGUCCAACGUUAAUCGGGGCAGGGUGAGUCGACCCCUAAGGCGAGGCCGAAAGGCGUAGUCGAUGGGAAACAGGUUAAUAUUCCUGUACUUGGUGUUACUGCGAAGGGGGGACGGAGAAGGCUAUGUUGGCCGGGCGACGGUUGUCCCGGUUUAAGCGUGUAGGCUGAUUUUCCAGGCAAAUCCGGAAAAUCAAGGCUGAGGCGUGAUGACGAGGCACUACGGUGCUGAAGCAACAAAUGCCCUGCUUCCAGGAAAAGCCUCUAAGCAUCAGGUAACAUCAAAUCGUACCCCAAACCGACACAGGUGGUCAGGUAGAGAAUACCAAGGCGCUUGAGAGAACUCGGGUGAAGGAACUAGGCAAAAUGGUGCCGUAACUUCGGGAGAAGGCACGCUGAUAUGUAGGUGAAGUCCCUCGCGGAUGGAGCUGAAAUCAGUCGAAGAUACCAGCUGGCUGCAACUGUUUAUUAAAAACACAGCACUGUGCAAACACGAAAGUGGACGUAUACGGUGUGACGCCUGCCCGGUGCCGGAAGGUUAAUUGAUGGGGUUAGCGGUAACGCGAAGCUCUUGAUCGAAGCCCCGGUAAACGGCGGCCGUAACUAUAACGGUCCUAAGGUAGCGAAAUUCCUUGUCGGGUAAGUUCCGACCUGCACGAAUGGCGUAAUGAUGGCCAGGCUGUCUCCACCCGAGACUCAGUGAAAUUGAACUCGCUGUGAAGAUGCAGUGUACCCGCGGCAAGACGGAAAGACCCCGUGAACCUUUACUAUAGCUUGACACUGAACAUUGAGCCUUGAUGUGUAGGAUAGGUGGGAGGCUUUGAAGUGUGGACGCCAGUCUGCAUGGAGCCGACCUUGAAAUACCACCCUUUAAUGUUUGAUGUUCUAACGUUGGCCCCUGAUCGGGGUUGCGGACAGUGUCUGGUGGGUAGUUUGACUGGGGCGGUCUCCUCCUAAAGAGUAACGGAGGAGCACGAAGGUUGGCUAAUCCUGGUCGGACAUCAGGAGGUUAGUGCAAUGGCAUAAGCCAGCUUGACUGCGAGCGUGACGGCGCGAGCAGGUGCGAAAGCAGGUCAUAGUGAUCCGGUGGUUCUGAAUGGAAGGGCCAUCGCUCAACGGAUAAAAGGUACUCCGGGGAUAACAGGCUGAUACCGCCCAAGAGUUCAUAUCGACGGCGGUGUUUGGCACCUCGAUGUCGGCUCAUCACAUCCUGGGGCUGAAGUAGGUCCCAAGGGUAUGGCUGUUCGCCAUUUAAAGUGGUACGCGAGCUGGGUUUAGAACGUCGUGAGACAGUUCGGUCCCUAUCUGCCGUGGGCGCUGGAGAACUGAGGGGGGCUGCUCCUAGUACGAGAGGACCGGAGUGGACGCAUCACUGGUGUUCGGGUUGUCAUGCCAAUGGCACUGCCCGGUAGCUAAAUGCGGAAGAGAUAAGUGCUGAAAGCAUCUAAGCACGAAACUUGCCCCGAGAUGAGUUCUCCCUGACUCCUUGAGAGUCCUGAAGGAACGUUGAAGACGACGACGUUGAUAGGCCGGGUGUGUAAGCGCAGCGAUGCGUUGAGCUAACCGGUACUAAUGAACCGUGAGGCUUAACCUUACAACGCCGAAG
rnacentral:rRNA from 1 species